GGGGGCAACCCUGAUCCAGCCAUUCCGCGUGAGUGAAGAAGGCCUUCGGGUUGUAAAGCUCUUUCGCGAGGGAAGAAAACUUAUGAUCGAAUAAAUCAUGAGGUUGACGGUACCUUGAUAAGAAGCACCGGCUAACUACGUGCCAGCAGCCGCGGUAAUACGUAGGGUGCGAGCGUUAAUCGGAAUUACUGGGCGUAAAGCGUGCGCAGGCGGUUUUGUAAGUCGGAUGUGAAAUCCCCGGGCUCAACCUGGGAANUGCGUUCGAAACUGCAAGGNUAGAGUGUGUCAGAGGGGGGUAGAAUUCCACGUGUAGCAGUGAAAUGCGUAGAGAUGUGGAGGAAUACCAAUGGCGAAGGCAGCCCCCUGGGAUAACACUGACGCUCAUGCACGAAAGCGUGGGGAGCAAACAGGAUUAGAUACCCUGGUAGUCCACGCCCUAAACGAUGUCAACUAGUUGUUGGUAGAGUAAAAUCCUAUGAGUAACG
rnacentral:rRNA from 1 species